rnacentral:rRNA from 1 species
GGAUGUUUUCAUUAAUCAAGAACGAAAGUUAGGGGAUCGAAGACGAUCAGAUACCGUCGUAGUCUUAACCAUAAACGAUGCCGACCAGCGAUUAGGAGACGUUGAAUACAAAACACCGCUGUUAAUCCUUUCGGGGGUUAAUAGUUGGUGAAUGACUCCCUAGCAGCUUGUGAGAAGGCCCCGGUCG